AUUGAACGCUGGCGGCAGGCCUAACACAUGCAAGUCGAACGAGUGGCGGACGGGUGAGUAAUGUCUGGGAAACUGCCUGAUGGAGGGGGAUAAAUACUGGAAACGGUAGAUAAUACCGCAUAACAUCAGAUGUGCCCAGAUGGGAUUAGCUUGUUGGUGGGGUAAAGGCUCACCAAGGAGACGAUCCCUAGCUGGUCUGAGAGGAUGACCAGCCACACUGGAACUGAGACACGGUCCAGACUCCUACGGGAGGCAGAAGUGGGGAAUAUUGCACCAUGGGCGCAAGCCUGAUGCAGCCAUGCCGCGUGUAUGAAGAAGGCCUUCGGGUUGUAAAGUACUUUCAGCUGGGAGGCGUUACCCGCAGAAGAAGCACCGGCUAACUCCGUGCCAGCAGCCGCGGUAAUUC
rnacentral:rRNA from 1 species